rnacentral:rRNA from 1 species
UAGGGAAUCUUCGGCAAUGGACGAAAGUCUGACCGAGCAACGCCGCGUGAGCGAAGAAGGUUUUCGGAUCGUAAAACUCUGUUGUCAGAGAAGAACAAGUACGUUAGUAACUGAACGUCCCCUGACGGUAUCUAACCAGAAAGCCACGGCUAACUACGUGCCAGCAGCCGCGGUAAUACGUAUGUGGCAAGCGUUGUCCGGAUUUAUUGGGCGUAAAGCGUGCGCAGGCGGUUUCUUAAGUCUGAUGUGAAAGCCCCCGGCUCAACCGGAGAGGGUCAUUGGAAACUGGGAGACUGGAGUGCGGAGGAGGAGAGGGGAAUUCCAUGGGUAGCGGUGAAAUGCGUAGAUAUUAGGAGGAACGCAAGUGGCGAAGGCGGCUCUAUGAUCUGAAACUGAAGAUGAGGCUCGAAAGCGUGGGGAGCAAACAGG